CAGCCAUACCACCGUGGACACUCCUGACCUCAUCUUAUCUAGAAGCUAAGCAAAGUCGAGUCUGGUUAGUACUUGGAUGGAAGAAUUACAGACAGGGAUGCUGC
rnacentral:rRNA from 1 species